AUCUCUGAGCAUAAGAAGCAAUACACUCGUCACAGAAAGUUUAUGAUCGUAAGAAUAAUUAUUAAAUUGGACAUGGAGAAAGCACAUAACAGAGAGGAUUGGUGUUAUCCAGAAGUCAUCUUAACCAAUAAUAAAUCUCCAUAGAAUCCUUCAAAUCCGUUAAGAAAGGAUGCCCAAUUUCUCCAUAUCCAUACAUAUUAUGUGCAG
rnacentral:lncRNA from 1 species